GGUCAAAUGCUUUAUGCAAAUCUAGGAUGCUUUUUUUUUCUGACUUAAACCCACAAGCUGUGUCACCGCACACACAACUUCUGGCACAGCACAGAGCUUCUAAUCUAGAGACUACCUCCCCAAUAAUUAUGUUGCCCUUCUUGCUGAUCCUUGUCACCUUGGCUGCCUUCUCCUCAUGUGCCUUCACACAGGUGGUCCUCACCCAGUCAGAACCUGCAGUGAAGAAUCCUGGACAGUCUCACAAGCUAAGUUGUAGAGCUACUGGGUUUGACGUCAACGGCUACUGGAUGGAAUGGGUCCGGCAGAAACCUGGCCAAGGCUUGGAAUGGCUAGCUCACUAUCUUAACCCUAGCAGCAAUUAUUAUUCAUCAGCAAUCCAAGGGCGAUUCACAGCCUCCAAGGACAGCUCCAGCUUCUACCUGCAAAUGAACAACCUGAAAGACGAAGACACGGCCGUCUAUUACUGUGCAAGGGACACAGUGAGAAAGUUUCCCCCAUAA